CAUGUGGCUCAUAAUGACCCCAGGAAGUGGGUUGGCAUCCUUCUUUACUUCACAGAUGGGCAAACCGAGGGUCACAGGAGCUGAUUUGUCCUGGGCACAAGGAAGCCCUUGACUCAUAUAAACAGCUGUUGGUUUAAGGAACAGCCCUCAUUUUGCGGUACAGCACCCUCACCUCCAAGAGUGUCACCGCAGCUCCUUGUGCAGAGUCUCAGAAGCUCAAUCCAUCUGUGCUCCAAGCCAGUGAUUUCGUUUUAUAAGGCACAUGGUAAAAACAUUAAUUGUAGGACACUCCUGAGAAUGAAAAGAGGAGCUAAUAGGGCACCGGGACACGAGGGAUGACGCAAGACGCUGGGGCAAAUCUGAGUGCACGAUCACCUAUGAACUGAGUACCUAGCCCCAGUUUCUGCUGAUGACCCUCUCAGUGCUCAGCAGUAGCGAUGGCCAGUCCACUUGGUGAAGGAUGUCCAGCUUUUCCAGCCCACGCGCAGUCUUCGCUCCUGAUGCCGUCGAUGUGUUUUGCAUAGGCCCAUGGAAAAGGGGCCUGAUCCUAGCAUCUGUAGUAUGUUGAAGUCAUCCUUCUAACUACUAAGGG